rfam:[Clostridium] sordellii strain JGS6382 genome assembly, chromosome: 1
AAGUCUUUUAAACUAGUCCAGAGAGGCUGGGAAAGAUAUCGUCAUAACAACAAGUUAUGAAGUAUUGAAUCCUUAUACCUCUAGGUAUAAGGAUUUUUCUGA